UACGAAGGGGGCUAGCGUUGCUCGGAAUUACUGGGCGUAAAGCGCACGUAGGCGGCUUUCUAAGUCGGGGGUGAAAUCCUGGAGCUCAACUCCAGAACUGCCUUCGAUACUGGAGAGCUCGAGUCCGGGAGAGGUGAGUGGAACUGCGAGUGUAGAGGUGAAAUUCGUAGAUAUUCGCAAGAACACCAGUGGCGAAGGCGGCUCACUGGCCCGGUACUGACGCUGAGGUGCGAAAGCGUGGGGGGCAAACAGG
rnacentral:rRNA from 1 species